rnacentral:rRNA from 1 species
AGUGAACGCUGGCGGUAGGCCUAACACAUGCAAGUCGAACGGCAGCACAGUAAGAGCUUGCUCUUACGGGUGGCGAGUGGCGGACGGGUGAGGAAUACAUCGGAAUCUACUUUUUCGUGGGGGAUAACGUAGGGAAACUUACGCUAAUACCGCAUACGACCUACGGGUGAAAGCAGGGGAUCUUCGGACCUUGCGCGAUUGAAUGAGCCGAUGUCGGAUUAGCUAGUUGGCGGGGUAAAGGCCCACCAAGGCGACGAUCCGUAGCUGGUCUGAGAGAAUGAUCAGCCACACUGGAACUGAGACACGGUCCAGACUCCUACGAGAGGCAGCAGUGGGGAAUAUUGGACAAUGGGCGCAAGCCUGAUCCAGCCAUACCGCGUGGGUGAAGAAGGCCUUCGGGUUGUAAAGCCCUUUUGUUGGGAAAGAAAAGCAGCAGGUUAAUACCCCGCUGUUCUGACGGUACCCAAAGAAUAAGCACCGGCUAACUUCGUG